rnacentral:lncRNA from 1 species
UAAGAGGAAGGGAGCUCGAUAGGACGUCGCAUCCUAUGCCUACGUAUCUCGUCUGGAACGAGAAUCAGAGCUGUCGUAGUUCGGCUCACGCACGCCAAACAAGACACACCGGCAAACAUGGAGCCUGAAUGCCAAUCACUGGACUUAAUCAGCAUCCGAACCAAAACACACACCAGAGGGCAAACGGGGAGCCCGACCGCCAAUCACUGGACUUACGUCGGCAUCCGAACCAAAACACACGCAAGAAGAUAACAAGCAAACACACGC